rnacentral:lncRNA from 1 species
UUUAUUGUAAUUAUGACAUUUAUUAAAUAUUAGAUAUUAUUAUACUAGAUUGAUUUAGGGUACUUUGUAAAUAGUUACUUUAUAAUGAAUAGUGAAUACCGCCUUCACUAGUCAGUACAUACACUUGUGAAAAUUAGUAAUUACUUUAUUAAAAUAAUUUUAGUAUAAAUUUAAUAUAUAAUAUAAAUAUAAUUUUUGUUUAAAUAUUUACGUCCAAUGUUAUAAGUAUAAAAAAAGCAGGUAAAAAAGUAUUUACUUACAUAAAAAACUAAAAAACUAAAAAAAAACCUACAGAUUUGUAACACCAAUAUAUUCUGCGUUUACUUUAAAUCUAAAAAUUUUCAAAUAAUAUUAAUUAUUAUACUCACAAAAAAUAGUAUAAAAAACUAAAUGUUGUGGCAUAAUGUGUCAAAUAAAAAAUAAUAUAUAUUUACAAAAAAAACAUAAAGUAACAAGCUAUUUUGAACUGUGUGUACCUCCUAAUGCUUUAUUAUUUUCAACACAAUAUGCCAAGGAAUGUGGUGCUUUCGAUUUGCGUUUGACUUUGGGUAAUCCACUUGAUAUUAUUUGCCCUUUUACAUACCCAUGUUCUGGAGCUUUUUUCCAUUUAGGAGUUCUUCCUGCAGUUAAAUUUUUUCGUCCUUUAAUUUGUGUUUUUCUUCUUGAUCUUGCAGUUGGCUGUGUUCCAAUUUGUUUAUUGCCUGCUAAUUUAGGUUUUUUUGAACUUACAUCUAAACCAGAAUACCUACCGAAUGUUGACAAUGCAGAAGAAAGACUAGCAUCGGUUUUGACACUUUUAUUGUAUGAAUUUACAAAUGCAUUCAUAGAUGGUAAGAAGUAUGUUUUGUCAGAUAGAAUUGACUGUUUCAUUUUUUUCAAUGACUUCAUUGAAAGAAUCAUAAGCUUUGUCAAAAUCGUUGUUGGCUGAUUCUAAUAAUUCAGUAACUCCAAAUUCAUUGUGUGUAUCAUUAUCAUUAACCGAGCCAUACCAACCAUUCUCAAUGUCUGAACUUCCAGAAGCACACUAGAUGUCAAAUAUGUAACUUUAUUUUCAUUUCUUAUGGCCAUAAUCCAAGGAUCAAUGUCAUCAACUCCAAAUUUAUGUAUAAUAAAUGUUGCUAUAAAUUUAUUAUCAUCUGAACCUGUAUAUUCCACCAUGGAAUACUCAUAACCGGUAGGAAUUUGACUCUAAACCAAUUAUAGAUUAGUUUUAUUAAUAAUUUCUUAUAAGUAGACCUCUGAACCUUUACUUAUUUUGUAUUUUAAAAAUUCUAAUUUAGUUUUAAUAUUUAAUGUAAAUGUAAAUAUUUAUUUUAAAAAUUACUUGUAAACAAUUGUAUUCAUCAUCUCUUGUUGUAUGUGUCUUCAUAUGUCGAACCAUAUUUGAUUUAAGAGUAAAUGUCUUUUCACAUUUUUGGCA